UACGUAGGGUGCGAGCGUUGUCCGGAAUUAUUGGGCGUAAAGAGCUCGUAGGCGGUGUGUCGCGUCGGCCGUGAAAACCUGGGGCUUAACUCUGGGCGUGCGGUCGAUACGGGCAUCACUAGAGUUCGGCAGGGGAGACUGGAAUUCCUGGUGUAGCGGUGAAAUGCGCAGAUAUCAGGAGGAACACCGGUGGCGAAGGCGGCUAUCUGGCCCGUAAUUGACGCUGAGGCGCGAAAGCGUGGGGAGCAAACAGG
rnacentral:rRNA from 1 species